GACGAACGCUGGCGGCGUGCUUAACACAUGCAAGUCGAACGGUAAGGCCCUUCGGGGUACACGAGUGGCGAACGGGUGAGUAACACGUGGGUGAUCUGCCCUGCACUUCGGGAUAAGCCUGGGAAACUGGGUCUAAUACCGGAUAGGACCCUGGGAUGCAUGUCCUGGGGUGGAAAGCUUUUGCGGUGUGGGAUGGGCCCGCGGCCUAUCAGCUUGUUGGUGGGGUGAUGGCCUACCAAGGCGACGACGGGUAGCCGGCCUGAGAGGGUGACCGGCCACACUGGGACUGAGAUACGGCCCAGACUCCUACGGGAGGCAGCAGUGGGGAAUAUUGCUCAAUGGGCGCAAGCCCGAUGCAGCGACGCCGCGUGAGGGAUGACGGCCUUCGGGUUGUAAACCUCUUUCAGCACCGACGAAGCGCAAGUGACGGUAGGUGCAGAAGAAGGACCGGCCAACUACGUGCCAGCCGCCGCGGUAA
rnacentral:rRNA from 1 species